rnacentral:rRNA from 1 species
UACGGAGGGAGCUAGCGUUGUUCGGAAUUACUGGGCGUAAAGCGCACGUAGGCGGCUACUCAAGUCAGAGGUGAAAGCCCGGGGCUCAACCCCGGAACUGCCUUUGAAACUAGGUGGCUAGAAUCCUGGAGAGGUCAGUGGAAUUCCGAGUGUAGAGGUGAAAUUCGUAGAUAUUCGGAAGAACACCAGUGGCGAAGGCGACUGACUGGACAGGUAUUGACGCUGAGGUGCGGAAGCGUGGGGAGCAAACAGG